UACGGAAGGCAGCAGUGGGGAAUAUUGCACAAUGGGCGCAAGCCUGAUGCAGCCAUGCCGCGUGUAUGAAGAAGGCCUUCGGGUUGUAAAGUACUUUCAGUCGUGAGGAAGGUGUUAAGGUUAAUAACCUUAGCAAUUGACGUUAGCGACAGAAGAAGCACCGGCUAACUCCGUGCCAGCAGCCGCGGUAAUACGGAGGGUGCGAGCGUUAAUCGGAAUUACUGGGCGUAAAGGGCACGCAGGCGGUUAAUUAAGUUGGAUGUGAAAUCCCCGGGCUUAACCUGGGAAUGGCAUUCAAGACUGGUUAGCUAGAGUCUUGUAGAGGGGGUAGAAUUCCAUGUGUAGCGGUGAAAUGCGUAGAGAUGUGGAGGAAUACCGGUGGCGAAGGCGGCCCCUGGACAAAGACUGACGCUCAUGUGCGAAAACGUGGGGAGCAAACGAGGGAUUAGAUACC
rnacentral:rRNA from 1 species